UUAACCGUAUAGGGGAGCCGUAGGGAAACCGAGUCUUAACCGGGCGUUAAGUUGCAGGGUAUAGACCCGAAACCCGGUGAUCUAGCCAUGGGCAGGUUGAAGGUUGGGUAACACUAACUGGAGGACCGAACCGACUAAUGUUGAAAAAUUAGCGGAUGACCUGUGGCUGGGGGUGAAAGGCCAAUCAAACCGGGAGAUAGCUGGUUCUCCCCGAAAGCUAUUUAGGUAGCGCCUCGUGAAUUCAUCUCCGGGGGUAGAGCACUGUUUCGGCUAGGGGGCCAUCCCGGCUUACCAACCCGAUGCAAACUGCGAAUACCGGAGAAUGUUAUCACGGGAGACACACGGCGGGUGCUAACGUCCGUCGUGAAGAGGGAAACAACCCAGACCGCCAGCUAAGGUCCCAAAGUCAUGGUUAAGUGGGAAACGAUGUGGGAAGGCCCAGACAGCCAGGAUGUUGGCUUAGAAGCAGCCAUCAUUUAAAGAAAGCGUAAUAGCUCACUGGUCGAGUCGGCCUGCGCGGAAGAUGUAACGGGGCUAAACCAUGCACCGAAGCUGCGGCAGCGAACGUAUCACCCAAGACAACUUUACGGAGUUGACGAUUGACGGAGCGAAGCGACGUCAAAGCGUUCAUUAAAGUCGAGUUGGCUUAGGGAUACGUUCGUUGGGUAGGGGAGCGUUCUGUAAGCCUGUGAAGGUGUGUCGUGAGGC
rnacentral:rRNA from 1 species